rnacentral:rRNA from 1 species
AGCUCCAAUAGUGUAUAUUAAAGUUGUUGCGGUUAAAAAGCUCGUAGUUGGAUUUCUGCCAAGGCUGGCCGGUCCGCCCUUUGGGUGAGUAUCUGGCUUGGCUGGAGCAUAUUCUUGGAGGGCAUUGCUGCACUUGACUGUGUGGUAUGCAACCCAAGACUUUUACUUUGAGGAAAUUAGAGUGUUUCAAGCAGGCUCGCGCCUUGAAUACAUUAGCAUGGAAUAAUAAGAUAAGGCCUUGGCUGUAUUUUGUUGGUUUCUAUAGCUGAGGUAAUGAUGAACAGGGAUACUUGGGGGCAUACGAAUUUAACUGUCAGAGGUGAAAUUCUUGGAUUUGUUAAAGACGGACUACUGUGAAAGCAUUUGCCAAGAAUGUUUUCAUUGAUCAAGAACGAAAGUA